GGCCGCUGAGCGUGCGCCUGGCGGGGCGGGCGGCGGCGCUCGGAGUCGCCGGGAGCUGCCGGGCUGUCCGCGCCGCCGCUGCGGGGCCAUGAUCCGGAACGGGCGCGGGGCUGCAGGCGGCGCAGAGCAGCCGGGCCCGGGGGGCAGGCGCGCCGUGAGGGUGUGGUGCGAUGGCUGCUAUGACAUGGUGCAUUACGGCCACUCCAACCAGCUGCGCCAGGCACGGGCCAUGGGUGACUACCUCAUCGUAGGCGUGCACACCGAUGAGGAGAUCGCCAAGCACAAGGGGCCCCCGGUGUUCACUCAGGAGGAGAGAUACAAGAUGGUGCAGGCCAUCAAAUGGGUGGACGAGGUGGUGCCAGCGGCUCCCUACGUCACUACACUAGAGACCCUGGACAAAUACAACUGUGACUUCUGUGUUCACGGCAAUGACAUCACCCUGACUGUAGAUGGCCGGGACACCUAUGAGGAAGUAAAGCAGGCUGGGAGGUACAGAGAAUGCAAGCGCACGCAAGGGGUGUCCACCACAGACCUCGUGGGCCGCAUGCUGCUGGUAACCAAAGCCCAUCACAGCAGCCAGGAGAUGUCCUCUGAGUACCGGGAGUAUGCAGACAGUUUUGGCAAGCCCCCUCACCCGAUACCCGCCGGGGACAUACUUUCCUCAGAAGGCUGCUCCCAGGUGACCAGACAGUGGUCUCAGGGUGCCAGGUCCCUCCCAAGGGCUGUGUGCACCUGCCGCAGGGCUCCUUGCCUCCUCCUGGUGGUUGCUGGCUGGGCUGAAGUGGUGUCUGCUGCCGUGCCUGCUGUGGUUGUGGGGUGGCGCCACAGUCCCACCUGCCACCUGGCCUGGCAGUGUGUCCCCUGCCCGAGUGCCCUGGUGGGCGGAACCCCUGGACCGGGGUAUCCCAGUUCCUGCAGACAUCUCAGAAGAUCAUCCAGUUUGCUUCUGGGAAGGAGCCCCAGCCAGGGGAGACAGUCAUCUAUGUGGCUGGUGCCUUCGACCUGUUCCACAUCGGGCAUGUGGACUUCCUGGAGAAGGUGCACAGGCUGGCAGAGAGGCCCUACAUCAUCGCAGGCUUACACUUUGACCAGGAGGUCAAUCACUACAAGGGGAAGAACUACCCCAUCAUGAAUCUGCAUGAGCGGACCCUGAGCGUGCUGGCCUGCCGGUACGUGUCAGAAGUGGUGAUUGGAGCCCCGUACGCGGUCACAGCAGAGCUCCUAAGUCACUUCAAGGUGGACCUGGUGUGUCACGGCAAGACAGAAAUUAUCCCUGACAGGGAUGGCUCCGACCCAUACCAGGAGCCCAAGAGAAGGGGCAUCUUCCGUCAGAUUGACAGUGGCAGCAACCUCACCACAGACCUCAUCGUCCAGCGGAUCAUCACCAACAGGUUGGAGUAUGAGGCGCGAAACCAGAAGAAGGAAGCCAAGGAGCUGGCCUUCCUGGAGGCUGCCAGGCAGCAGGCGGCACAGCCCCUGGGGGAGCGCGAUGGCGACUUCUAACUCGGCAGAGGCCCCGGCCGGCCCUCCCCCUGCUCUGCUUCUGCGCCUUCUGCGUUUGGACAUAGGACUCUGCAGGGCCGCCCUCUCUAACUGGCCUGGCUCUGGAAGGGCUGCUGAGGACUCUGCCUCCUUGCCUGCCUACAAGGUGCCUGGUUUGCAGCAGGCUCUCCGCUCUUUCCAGCAAAGCUGCUCAGAGAGGGUGUCCAGCACAGUGGAGAGGCCGGAAGUGAGACGGGCAGAUGGCACCUGCAGCCUGAAACGCACCGCUCCUGCGUGCGCCCCCACCUGCUCCCCGGAUGCCCCCACCACCUGGACAGAGACCACACUGACUGCCCACCCAGCUGUGGCAGGAGGUGCAGAGCAGAGGGCUUUAGGGAGCAGUGACUGCGGUCACCUCUUUAGUUCUCUGGGUGUAGACCACACCACCUCCCACUGGGCACCCCCCAACACGGUGUCCUGCCACCCAGCGCCUGGCUCCAGGAAAACACGCUUGCCUUCCUUCCCGGCAGCUUUGCCACUCUCCUUAUGGACUCUGUUCUGUUUGUACAUGGCUGACGUAAAUCUCUUUGGUACAACCGAAUAAA